rnacentral:lncRNA from 1 species
AUAUUUCAUCUGACAGAUUUGUUAGAGGCCAUACCCUCUGGCUUUCUGUGUGCAAGCCUCUCUAUAGUUGCCCAUCACCAACCUUGACCUUAAUGUAACCCUCAAGGCCCCAUGUAAACUAUUAAUCUGAUUAUUUGAUUAUUAAUCUGAUUAUUUGCUAUUUAAUUACUUAAAAUCAAUUUAAUGGCUGCCACUUCUGCUAGCUGUGUUUAGUCAUUAUUCCUUGAAAUUCUUACAUAUUUGUACUACUUGUGAUUAAAAUUCUAACCCCAUUUACCUUAUGGUAGCUAUCAUCAAAAUUGUGGACAGUGAUAUUGUGGACAGUGAUUGGGAGUGAUGCAGUGAUAUUCUGGCUGGAUGACUCUGUAUAUUAUAAAGUAACUUCCAGAUGGCAAAAAUUUCUGCACUUGAAGAGAUGCUUGUUCGUUGCUUACUAGACUCGUUCUUUUACAAUAGAUGUAGUGUGCCUCAGGCACUUGGAACGUUUUGUUGUGUACCAAUUAGGAACUGGUUAGACCGCAUUAAAAAAUAUAACUCUGUAUAAUACAGAAUAAGGGAAGUAUAAAGGUAUAUUUUAUGAUAUGAAUUUGAUACUAUUUGGAUCCAUUAUGUAUUUUGAGAUAUUUUAAGUUUCUUAGUGUUGAAUUAUAAUAAUAUUUUGAACUUUUAGAUUGCAGAAUUAUGAAAUGAAGUUGAUGUGUAUAUAUUGUCUUUGAUGUUUUAUGUAUUGGAAUGUGUGUGUACAUAUUGAUAUUGCAGAACUAUAAUAAAUAUU